UAUUAGGUUGGUGCAAAAGUAACUGCAGUUUUUGCCAUUAAAAGUAAUUAAAAGUAAUGGCAAAAACUGCAGUUGCUUUUGCACCAACCUAAUA
rfam:Homo sapiens chromosome 15, GRCh38 reference primary assembly.